rnacentral:rRNA from 1 species
ACGAACGCUGGCUGCGUGCUUAACACAUGCCAGUCGAACGGAAAGGCCCUGCUUUUGUGGGGUGCUCGAGUGGCGAACGGGUGAGUAACACGUGAGUAACCUGCCCUUGACUUUGGGAUAACUUCAGGAAACUGGGGCUAAUACCGGAUAGGAGCUCCUGCUGCAUGGUGGGGGUUGGAAAGUUUCGGCGGUUGGGGAUGGACUCGCGGCUUAUCAGCUUGUUGGUGGGGUAGUGGCUUACCAAGGCUUUGACGGGUAGCCGGCCUGAGAGGGUGACCGGCCACAUUGGGACUGAGAUACGGCCCAGACUCCUACGGGAGGCAGCAGUGGGGAAUAUUGCACAAUGGGCGGAAGCCUGAUGCAGCAACGCCGCGUGCGGGAUGACGGCCUUCGGGUUGUAAACCGCUUUCGCCUGUGACGAAGCGUGAGUGACGGUAAUGGGUAAAGAAGCACCGGCUAACUACGUG